rnacentral:lncRNA from 1 species
AUUUACACAGAUUAUGUCUAUGAUUUGCAAUGGAUUUAGGGGAGGCUUCCUGGCAAGGAUUGGAGGAGGAUUGUUUGUGAUUAACUUAAAAGCAAGGAUAAAGCAAUGCCAUUAUUAAGUAAAUACUGCAGUCUGAAUCAACAUUUACUAACUGCUUUGUAAAGUCUUACAUGCUGAUUGGCUUCAGCAGGCAAGAUGGAAAAGAGGCAGUGUAUGGGGAGACGAGGAAAAAAAAUGAUUAAUUUUUUGGGCCAAGACACAAGAAUUCUUAUAUGCCUGAGCUGUCAUGUCAAGCAUGAAGAUUUUUUCAGAUGUUUUGCCUUGCUGACCUGAUACUCCUACUUUAAUCUGAAUCCAUCUCCUGUUUUGAUUGUUGAAGAACAAGAGACAUUAGUUUGGUAUCAUUCCUCUGGAAGAAUGAAAAUCCCCCAUAAGCAGUGUGAAAUUUGGGUAGAAGAAGACAAAGCCCAAAGGCUUUGAAUCUGAUGAUGCUCAUGACAUAUAGUAGCUGUCUUCCUUUCCAAACUCCAUGUCAAAAUAACACUAACUGGAUAAGUUUCUGCUAAACCUGAAAUUGCACAC